AGAGUUUGAUCCUGGCUCAGGACGAACGCUGGCGGCGUGCCUAACACAUGCAAGUCGAGCGAUGAAGCUCCUUCGGGAGUGGAUUAGCGGCGGACGGGUGAGUAACACGUGGGCAACCUGCCUCAAAGUGGGGAAUAGCCCUCCGAAAGGAGGAUUAAUACCGCAUAACAUGAAGGAAUCGCAUGGUACCUUCAUUAAAGAUUUAUCGCUUUGAGAUGGGCCCGCGGCGCAUUAGCUAGUUGGUGAGGUAACGGCUCACCAAGGCGACGAUGCGUAGCCGACCUGAGAGGGUGAUCGGCCACAUUGGAACUGAGACACGGUCCAGACUCCUACGGGAGGCAGCAGUGGGGAAUAUUGCGCAAUGGGGGAAACCCUGACGCAGCAACGCCGCGUGAAGGAAGACGGUUUUCGGAUUGUAAACUUCUAUCGAUAGGGACGAAAAAAAUGACGGUACCUAAAUAAGAAGCCCCGGCUAACUACGUGCCAGCAGCCGCGGUAA
rnacentral:rRNA from 1 species